UACGUAGGGUGCGAGCGUUAAUCGGAAUUACUGGGCGUAAAGCGUGCGCAGGCGGUUCGCCAAGUCAGGUGUGAAAUCCCCGGGCUUAACCUGGGAAUUGCCCUUGAAACUAGCGGGCUUGAGUGUGGCAGAGGGGGGUGGAAUUCCACGUGUAGCAGUGAAAUGCGUAGAGAUGUGGAGGAACACCGAUGGCGAAGGCAGCCCCCUGGGUCAACACUGACGCUCAUGCACGAAAGCGUGGGGAGCAAACAGG
rnacentral:rRNA from 1 species